AGCAGCGGCGGGGCCGGCGCCAGACGGGGCGGGAGAUGAAGCUGCGGAUCCUGGCGGAGCGACGGCGGCCGCUGGACAUCGAGGGGCUGCGGGAGGAGGGGCUCAGGGCCAAGGCAGAGGAGCUCCACGCCUGGAUCCAGCAGCUCGAGUCCGAGAAGUUCGACCUGAGCGAGAAACUGCGGCGGCAGCGCUACGAGAUCAACGUGCUCUACAACCGCAUCAGCCACGCCCAGAAAUU